rnacentral:rRNA from 1 species
GACGAACGCUGGCGGCGUGCUUAACACAUGCAAGUCGAACGGAAAGGCCCUGCUUUUGUGGGGUGCUCGAGUGGCGACCGGGUGAGUAACACGUGAGUAACCUGCCCUUGAUUUUGGGAUAACUUCAGGAAACUGGGGCUAAUACCGGAUAGGAGCUCCUGCUGCAUGGUGGGGGUUGGAAAGUUUCGGCGGUUGGGGAUGGACUCGCGGCUUAUCAGCUUGUUGGUGGGGUAGUGGCUUACCAAGGCUUUGACGGGUAGCCGGCCUGAGAGGGUGACCGGCCACAUUGGGACUGAGAUACGGCCCAGACUCCUACGGGAGGCAGCAGUGGGGAAUAUUGCACAAUGGGCGGAAGCCUGAUGCAGCAACGCCGCGUGCGGGAUGACGGCCUUCGGGUUGUAAACCGCUUUCGCCUGUGACGAAGCGUGAGUGACGGUAAUGGGUAAAGAAGCACCGGCUAACUACGUG